GAAGGCAGAUUCUCGGGCAUUUUACAUGAAACUCUUCAAACUUCAUACCGAGAGGAUAAUGUUUAAAAUAUUGUAUAUUACAGGAUGGGAGAAAAAUAAUACAGAUAAAAAUUUAAGUAUCUUCCCCCACCCCAGAAUUAGUUAUAUCCAUAGUCUCUCACACACAGGUGUUUGUACAGCUUUUGUUAUUAGUUUUUUUUUUUUUUACAAUUUCCCAUGUAAAAUCAUACACAUUUUAAUUUUUUUAAUUACUUUAAGAAAUUUACACCACUUUAUUGCAUUGCUCAUUAUAAAAGAACUUGGAAUGGGAACUAGGCUUACAGUAAUAAGAAACAAAAUUUCACAUAACUUAAAAAAAUUACACUUUCAUUGAAAUUUUAUUGCAGGAUAUUAACUGUACAAUCUUUCAGAUGUUCUCUUGACUUCUUUUUUCAUAUUUAUGAUGUUAUUCAAAGCUUUUUUCCAAUAAUUAUAUACAAGUAAACAUGCACAAUUUUAGCCUUUUCACAUAGUAGAUGAUAAAGUAGACUUUAAAAGAAAUAAUGUAUAUUUAGGUAUCUUAAUUAUGCUAACAAUUAAAAAGUUAAUUUUCCAUCUAAUAGUAUGGGGCAAUAAUUUAAAUACGUUUUAAAUUAUCAUAAUUUCAAAUUUUAUUGAAUGAAUUUUUUAAGAUCAAGAAUAAAGACAUCAGAAAGCACUUUCUUUUAAUUCUCAUAAUGAAGGUUAAUCAACACUUAGAUGAAUUACCAGGAUUUCUCACCAUAUUAAAAACUUGUUAUUUAGACAUUUGUUGUUUUUAAGUUUAUGCUGUGUUGAGAAGUCUGGGAUAAUCCAAUUAAAGACUGAUUAACCUAAGUUUUGAGUCUUAAACAAUAAAGCACAUUUUUGGUAAGAUGCAUUGUGGUCUACACUAAGUAAUGUGAAACAUUUUUUUAAUAAGAGAAAUUGUUUUAUAGCAUGUACAUUUGUGUAUUCUCUCAUUAACAUUAAGGCUAAGGUGGUUAUUUCCUACUUAUAUUAUAGCAUGUACAUUUGUGUAUUCUCUUAUUAACAUUAAGCCUAAGGUGGUUAUUUCCUACUUAUAUUAUAGCAUGUACAUUUGUGUAUUCUCUUAUUAACAUUAAGCCUAAGG